UGUCUGGUGAUCAAAUCAAACUCCACUCCACCUCCGGAGCCGAGAUCGCGAGAUCGAUCUCUGGAAAACGAAGCAAAUGCAACAAAGUCAGCUGGCGACGGCAACUGUUAACUCAACAUCCACCCCUGCUUCCGUCGGAAGCCCGUCGGAGGAGGCUCCGCCGAAGCAGGUGGCGCUAGCAAUGGAUAGGCUGGGCCAAGCUGCCCGAAUCAUCGCAGAUAUCAGAAUUGGCGCCGACCGUCUUCUUGAAGCUCUUUUUAUUGCCUCGCAGCCUCAUCAAAGCACCAAGCCCUUGCAGUUGUUCAUCAAAGAAGAUGCUUCCAUGCAUCAACACUUACAAGACCUUCGUUCUCUUGGAAGGCAGCUAGAAGAGUCUGGGGUUCUUAAUGAAUCGCUUCGAUCGCGAAGUAACUCUUGGGGUCUGCAUAUGCCUUUGGUUUGUCCAGACGGCGCUGUAGUUGCAUAUGCUUGGAAACGACAGCUUGCAGGGCAAGCAGGGGCUUCUGCCGUCGACAGAACUAGGUUGGCUCUCAAAGCCUUCACUGAUCAGAAAAGGCGAUUCUUCCCUCAUCUUGAUGAUGGACUCCUAAUUAAUGAAACACCUUCAAAGAAACAUUGUGGUUCUGAGGAAAUCAUGUUGGAUUGUAAAGAUGAAGUUAGUAAUCUUAGUACAUUAGCAGAUGUUCUAAAACGUUUGGAAAAGGAAGUUCCAACUCUGGAAAUUUUAACUUUUGAACGACUGGACUGGUUAAAAAGAGCUUCUUCACUAUCCUCCUCACAAAAUGAGAAUUCUCUAGAACAUAAUUUCCAUGGAUCAAAUAACCUAAGGCCAGGGUCAUUUGGAGCUGGUGCUGCAGACAGAAUUGCUGUGAUAGAGUUGCUAUUUCCAUCUGUCUUUAGAGCUGUUGUGUCUUUACACCCUGCUGACUCCAUAGAUCCUGAUGCAGUAGCUUUCUUUUCUCCAGAUGAGGGUGGAAGCUAUGUGCAUGCAAGGGGUUAUUCAGUUCAUCAUGUUUAUAGACAUAUCACGGAAUAUGCGGCUACAGCUCUACAAUAUUUCCUAGGAAACCAAGCUGAAACAUCUCUGUAUUGUUUAUUGCACUGGAUUUGCAGCUACCAGACCCUUUUUACAAGGUCUUGCAGUAAGUGUUCUUUGCUACUUGCUAUGGAUAAACAGUCUGCUUUACUGUUACCUCCUGUCCACCGUCCCUACUGGCAGUUUUCUUUCUCAAAACUGUUGUCAACCAUCACCUCAAAAGACCAAAACACAGAUAUUACUCAGGCUUAUCACGUUGGCUGCUUCUCUGCAGAAACGUAACUUCAUCUGCCAGUGAUAUUGGAAGAGUUUCAGGUAGAUGGAGUCUCUUCUAUAAUCAUAGAGUUGUAAAUGCAAGAGUUAUCUAGUUGCAGGAAGAUUUGAAUAGAAAUGUUGCUCGGAAGAAGGCUUGCCAUUGCUUUAAAGCCGUAGCAUCUCUUCCUGGGCUUCUCUUCCGCUAACAAUGAUGCAUGGAAGGGUUGCACCUACUAGCGUCACGCAAAGGUGGUGGUUUCUGACCCCCCCCCCCUGUUGUCUUUUUCGGCCUAAUCGUGUCCAACAUGCACAGCAGAUCCCGUUUUCUUUUUCCUUUUUUUCUCUCUCUCUUGGGACCUAUUAGCGGAUUUUAAUGAAUAAGCCCAAAUUAGUGAUACUAGUAAAACAGGUCUACGAACGAGUAAGCAACGGUUAUGUCCGAAUGUCGAAGAGAAACGAAAUGAGCAGUACAACUAUCUGUAGUCUUGAACUACUUACGGAGUCUUCGCAAAGAUGUCUGUUGUCCAAGAUAUGAACUGUCUAAGUCAUCUUUCUGUUUUAGAGAUCUACCUAGUCUCUUGAAUCUCUUCUAUGCCAAUACUGAAAAAGGUCCAUAGAUGUAUUUUUUUCGUAUGAUAUCAAGCGUCAGCCAUGAAGAUCAUUACACAUGAAAAUGUGGCGUACUAACGAAUCUGUAUGUGCUUGUGGAUAUGCAUUAGAUUGAAGGGAGUACUUGAAACCGAAUAAACUUAAUCUGUGUGGAAGAAUGGAGAGAAAAUGGAGCAAAUACGACUAUUUUUAUUUAUGUAAUAUUACUAUGCUUUUGUGAAAA